UACGUAGGGUGCGAGCGUUAAUCGGAAUUACUGGGCGUAAAGCGUGCGCAGGCGGUUUUGUAAGCCAGAUGUGAAAUCCCCGGGCUUAACCUGGGAACUGCAUUUGUGACUGCAUCGCUGGAGUGCGGCAGAGGGGAUGGAAUUCCGCGUGUAGCAGUGAAAUGCGUAGAUAUGCGGAGGAACACCGAUGGCGAAGGCAAUCCCCUGGGCCUGCACUGACGCUCAUGCACGAAAGCGUGGGGAGCAAACAGG
rnacentral:rRNA from 1 species